GAAAUGCGAUAAGUAGUGUGAAUUGCAGAAUUCAGUGAAUCAUCGAAUCUUUGAACGCACAUUGCGCCCGCCAGUAUUCUGGCGGGCAUGCCUGUUCGAGCGUCAUUACAACCCUCAGGCCCCGGGCCUGGCGUUGGGGAUCGGCGGAAGCCCCCUGCGGGCACAACGCCGUCCCCCAAAUACAGUGGCGGUCCCGCCGCAGCUUCCAUUGCGUAGUAGCUAACACCUCGCAACUGGAGAGCGGCGCGGCCACGCCGUAAAACACCCAACUUCUGAAUGUUGACCUCGAAUCAGGUAGGAAUACCCGCUGAACUUAAGC
rnacentral:misc_RNA from 1 species